rnacentral:rRNA from 1 species
AUUGAACGCUGGCGGCAGGCCUAACACAUGCAAGUCGAGCGAGCGGCGGACGGGUGAGUAAUGUCUGGGAAACUGCCUACUGGAGGGGGAUAACUACUGGAAACGGUAGCUAAUACCGCAUACCAUCAGAUGUGCCCAGAUGGGGUUCGCUAGUAGGUGGGGUAACGGCUAACCUAGGCGACGAUCCCUAGCUGGUCUGAGAGGAUGACCAGCCACACUGGAACUGAGAAACGGUCCAUACGCCUACGGGAGGCAGCAGUGGGGAAUAUUGCACAAUGGGCGCAAGCCUGAUGCAGCCAUGCCGCGUGUAUGAAGAAGGCCUUCGGGUUGUAAAGUACUUUCAGCGGGGAGGCGUUACCCGCAGAAGAAGCACCGGCUAACUCCGUGUCAGCCGCCGCGGUAAUUC